rnacentral:rRNA from 1 species
UACGUAGGGUGCAAGCGUUGUCCGGAAUUAUUGGGCGUAAAGAGCUCGUAGGCGGUUUGUUGCGUCGGCUGUGAAAUCCCGAGGCUCAACCUCGGGUCUGCAGUCGAUACGAGCAAACUAGAGUGUUGCAGGGGAGACUGGAAUUCCUGGUGUAGCGGUGAAAUGCGCAGAUAUCAGGAGGAACACCUGCGGCGAAGGCGGGUUGCUGGGCCGACACUGACGCUGAGGCGCGAAAGCUAGGGGAGCGAACGGG